CUCCGCUAACAUCAAGGCGGUGACCCGAUCCUGUAGGUUCAUGCUCUACAACAUUCACAGAGUACGACCCUGCCUUACACAGGAAGCGGCGCAGAUCCUAAUCCAGACAUUCGCCUGUCUGCCUCAAGUUCUGUAAAAAAUGCUGUCAAAUCUGUGACCUAUGGAAAUUUGCGGAACACCACAAGAUAACAUUGAGGAAGUAGCUAGCCAGAUUGCUAGCUAUUCGACAGCUGUGCAAGAGUAACGUUCGUUAGCUGUUUAUGUAGCUGCUCUUUAAUAUUCGAUUUAAUUCGUUUUUAAUCAUGGACCAAGCAGUCAGCGUCAAUGCAGACCCAGAUAUGCCAUCUGACAGUGAGGGUCGUAGUUCGCGCUGGAGAAAUUGGACUGGUUUUUGGUGAGUUUAGCUGUGAGAUUAUGUUCUACUAUGGUGAAUGUGAUGUGAAAUCAGAAACGGGGUUUAAAACAAGUUUAAGCUGUAAAAGAGACCCCUGUAGUUUCCUAAAAUCAGACUCCAACUGCAUUAAAGCUUAGUCCGCUGUUGGAGCAAUAGAGUACAUCACUGUGUCAUCUGCAUAUAAAUGGAAUUUACAAUAUCUGACAUCAUCACCAAUGUUGUUUAUAUAAAGUGAGAACAAUAGUGGGCCAAUUAUUGAACCCUGAGGGACCCCUUUAAGUAACUGUAAGGAGUCAGACUUGACCCCGUCGACCAUGACGGCCUGAGUUCUAUCUUUAAGAUAGUCAUAAAACCAUCGGCCUUCCCUGUAGCUCAGUUGGUAGAGCAUGGUGUUUGCAACACCAGGGUUGUGGGUUCGAUUCCCACGGGGGGCCAGCACAGGAAAAAAAAAAAAAUGUAUGAAAUUGUAUGAAAUGUAUGCAUUCACUACUGUAAGUCGCUCUGGGUAAGAGCGUCUGCUAAAUGACUAAAAUGUAAAUGUAAUUCAUCACUCCAGCUGAUGCUUGGCAUUGCACAAGGUGAUCUUAGGCUGGUGUGAGGCUGCUCGGCCAUGGAAACCUAUUUCAUGAAGCUCCCAACGAGCAGUUAUUGUGCUGAUGUUGCUUCCAGAGGCAGAUUGGAACUCGGUAGUGAGUGUUGCCACUGAGGACAUUUUUAUCAGCUACGCGCUUCAGCACUCGGCGGUCCCGUUCUGUGAGCUUGUGUGGCCUACCAAUUCGCAGCUUAGCCGUUGUUGCUCCUAGAUGUUUCCAAUUCACAAUAACAGCACUUACAGUUGACCGGGGCAGCUCUAGCAAGACAGAAAUUUGACAAACUGAUUUGUUGGAAAGGUGGAAUCCCAUGACAGUGCCACGUUGAAAGUCACUGAGCUCUUCAGCUCUACUGCAAAUGUUUGUCUAUGGAGAUUGCAUGGCGGUGCGCUCUAUUUUAUACAUCCAUCAGCAACGGGUGUGGCUGAAAUAGCCAAAUCCACAAAUUUGAAG
rnacentral:lncRNA from 1 species